rnacentral:lncRNA from 1 species
AAUAGUAACUACUAUCAGAAGUUAAUUAUUUUUCACCUUUACGUUUUGGUUACGAUCUUAGGUACCAAAGCCUUACCUUUAGUAGUUUUUAGUAAUGGUAAUUGGCUUUUGGCAAUACACAGGUAUUAAUAUUAAAAUGUGGAUGUAUUAUUUACAUUAUUUCUUGUGAAUUGUGAUAACAACACAAUUAUCUAUUUUUUUGGAAUGUCUACCGGUAUCGAAAAAUGGUCGUUGAAAGGAUUACUGGACGAGUACGAAUUAACAAAAUUAUGUGAAAUUGUCAGGUCUGUCUAUUACGAAGCAUAAGGGUAGAACACUUGAGAAGGUAAGUAUACAUUUAAAGAAUUUAAUAAAUUUUAAUAAUUAUUGAAUAUUAUGAAAUCAGAGCUAAGUUUCCAAAAUCAACAAAAUCAAUAAUAUAAUAUAUUUAUCUAUAUAAUUGAAAAAAACAUAAUCAUAUAAAUUUCUGAUAAUAUACAGUUGUCAAUGUUGAAUAUGCGAUUCAAUAUAUCAAUUUGUAUUUUUGUUCACCGUUACAAUUAAGUUAAAUUUUUUUUUUGUUAUUUUUUAUAUGCCUACUAUUUUGUUUUAUUAUUAUUAUUUUGAAAAUAAGACAUUCGUAGCAAUUUAGCUAUUUACUGCUACAAAUAUUAGCAAUAUACAUAAUUUUUGAUGGUUUUAUCAUGGUUAAUGAUGAAAUUAAAUAAUUACUAAUGAUUAUUAUGUUUGUUUUAGAUGCUGAAGUUUUACUACUGUCUCAAUCGUACACACAAGUAAAAAGUUUCUGAUAACUAACUUUAUACAUUUUAUAGUUUCCAAAAGCUUAUUCUCCUUGCUUAAUCUGUCAAAAAAUUAAUAGAUUCUGACGUUCAAGACAUCACAUUGUUCAAAAACCAUACGGGCUAUAUGAAGCCACCAAUACAACCUGAC